rnacentral:rRNA from 1 species
AGAGUUUGAUCAUGGCUCAGAAUCAACGCUGGCGGCGUGCCUCAGACAUGCAAGUCGAACGCGAAAGCCCCCUUCGGGGGGCAAGUAGAGUGGCGCACGGGUGAGUAACACGUAGGUAAUCUACCUUUGGAUGGGGAAUAACCACCGGAAACGGUGGCUAAUACCGCAUAAUGCAGCGGCACCUAAUGGUGACAGUUGUUAAAGCGGGGGAUCGCAAGACCUCGCGUCUGAAGAGGAGCCUGCGGCGGAUUAGCUUGUUGGUAAGGUAACGGCUUACCAAGGCGAUAAUCCGUAGCCGGCCUGAGAGGGCGGUCGGCCACACUGACACUGACAUACGGGUCAGACUCCUACGGGAGGCAGCAGUCGGGAAUUUUGGGCAAUGGGCGAAAGCCUGACCCAGCAACGCCGCGUGAAGGAUGAAAUCCUUCGGGAUGUAAACUUCGCAAGAGCAGGAAGAAUAAGUAAGGGUUAAUAUCUCUUACGAUGACGGUACUGUUUGUAAGCUCCGGCUAACUCCGUGCCAGCAGCCGCGGUAAUACGGGGGGAGCAAGCGUUGUUCGGAUUUACUGGGCGUAAAGGGCGCGUAGGCGGCCACCGCAAGUCGACUGUGAAAUCUCCGGGCUUAACCCGGAAAGGUCAGCCGAUACUGCGGGGCUAGAGUGCAGAAGGGGCAACUGGAAUUCUCGGUGUAGCGGUGAAA